rnacentral:rRNA from 1 species
AUACGUAGGGAGCAAGCGUUGUCCGGAAUUACUGGGCGUAAAGGGUGCGUAGGCGGCAAGCCAAGUCAGAUGUGAAAUCCCCGGGCUUAACUCGGGGGGUGCAUUUGAUACUGGGUGUCUAGAGUGUGGAAGAGGUAAGUGGAAUUCCGAGUGUAGAGGUGAAAUUCGUAGAUAUUCGGAGGAACACCAGUGGCGAAGGCGGCUUACUGGUCCAUUACUGACGCUGAGGUGCGAAAGCGUGGGGAGC